UUUCCGUAGGUGAACCUGCGGAAGGAUCAUUGCUGAGUUUUGAAUGAAGUUGUUCUGGUCUUUCGGGGCAAGUGAACGCUUCUCUCAAUCCAUCUUACACCUGUGCACCUAUCGGGGAAGACUUGGAUCUAAGUUGGGUCGCGACGGCGAUCUACAGUCUCCUCUUUAUACCAAAUAACAGUUUUAGAAAGUCUUUUUUGCUUGAUGCAAACUUAAAUAAAUACAACUUUCAGCAACGGAUCUCUUGGCUCUC
rnacentral:misc_RNA from 1 species